rnacentral:rRNA from 1 species
UACGUAGGUGGCUAGCGUUACUCGGAAUCACUGGGCAUAAAGGGCGUGUAGGCGGACGCGUAAGUCCGGUGUGAAAUCCCCCGGCUCAACCGGGGACGGCCAUUGGAUACUGCGUGUCUUGAGUGCGGGAAGGGAGAGUGGAACUCUUGGUGGAGCGGUGAAAUGCGUAGAUAUCAAGAGGAACGCCGGUGGCGAAAGCGGCUCUCUGGCCCGUUACUGACGCUGAGGCGCGAAAGCUAGGGGAG